rnacentral:rRNA from 1 species
UAUUGGGCAAUGGGCGCAAGCCUGACCCAGCAACGCCGCGUGAAGGAAGAAGGCUUUCGGGUUGUAAACUUCUUUUCUCAGGGACGAAGCAAGUGACGGUACCUGAGGAAUAAGCCACGGCUACCUCCGUGCAAGCAGCCGCGGUAAUACGUAGGUGGCAAGCGUUAUCCGGAUUUACUGGGUGUAAAGGGCGUGUAGGGGGGGAAGCAAGUCAGAUGUGAAAACCACGGGCCCAACCUGUGGCCUGCAUUUGAAAUUGUUUUUCUUGAGUGCUGGAGAGGCAAUCGGAAUUCCGUGUGUAGCGGUGAAAUGCGUAGAUAUACGGAGGAACACCAGUGGCGAAGGCGGAUUGCUGGACAGUAACUGACGCUGAGGCGCGAAAGCGUGGGGAGCAAACAG